rnacentral:rRNA from 1 species
UCAAGUGAAGAAGCGCAUACGGUGGAUGCCUUGGCAGUCAGAGGCGAUGAAAGACGUGGUAGCCUGCGAAAAGCUUCGGGGAGUCGGCAAACAGACUUUGAUCCGGAGAUCUCUGAAUGGGGGAACCCACCUAGGAUAACCUAGGUAUCUUGUACUGAAUCCAUAGGUGCAAGAGGCGAACCAGGGGAACUGAAACAUCUAAGUACCCUGAGGAAAAGAAAUCAACCGAGAUUCCCUUAGUAGUGGCGAGCGAACGGGGAUUAGCCCUUAAGCUUCAUUGAUUUUAGCGGAACGCUCUGGAAAGUGCGGCCAUAGUGGGUGAUAGCCCCGUACGCGAAAGGAUCUUUGAAGUGAAAUCGAGUAGGACGGAGCACGAGAAACUUUGUCUGAACAUGGGGGGACCAUCCUCCAAGGCUAAAUACUACUGACUGACCGAUAGUGAACCAGUACCGUGAGGGAAAGGCGAAAAGAACCCCGGAGAGGGGAGUGAAAUAGAACCUGAAACCGUAUGCGUACAAGCAGUGGGAGCCUACUUGUUAGGUGACUGCGUACCUUUUGUAUAAUGGGUCAGCGACUUAUAUUCAGUGGCAAGCUUAACCGUAUAGGGUAGGCGUAGCGAAAGCGAGUCUUAAUAGGGCGUUUAGUCGCUGGGUAUAGACCCGAAACCGGGCGAUCUAUCCAUGAGCAGGUUGAAGGUUAGGUAACACUGACUGGAGACCGAACCCACUCCCGUUGAAAAGGUAGGGGAUGACUUGUGGAUCGGAGUGAAAGGCUAAUCAAGCUCGGAGAUAGCUGGUUCUCCUCGAAAGCUAUUUAGGUAGCGCCUCAUGUAUCACUCUGGGGGGUAGAGCACUGUUUCGGCUAGGGGGUCAUCCCGACUUACCAAACCGAUGCAAACUCCGAAUACCCAGAAGUGCCGAGCAUGGGAGACACACGGCGGGUGCUAACGUCCGUCGUGAAAAGGGAAACAACCCAGACCGCCAGCUAAGGUCCCAAAGUUGUGGUUAAGUGGUAAACGAUGUGGGAAGGCUUAGACAGCUAGGAGGUUGGCUUAGAAGCAGCCAUCCUUUAAAGAAAGCGUAAUAGCUCACUAGUCGAGUCGGCCUGCGCGGAAGAUGUAACGGGGCUCAAACCACACACCGAAGCUGCGGGUGUCACGUAAGUGACGCGGUAGAGGAGCGUUCUGUAAGCCUGUGAAGGUGAGUUGAGAAGCUUGCUGGAGGUAUCAGAAGUGCGAAUGCUGACAUGAGUAACGACAAUGGGUGUGAAAAACACCCACGCCGAAAGACCAAGGGUUCCUGCGCAACGUUAAUCGACGCAGGGUUAGUCGGUUCCUAAGGCGAGGCUGAAAAGCGUAGUCGAUGGGAAACAGGUUAAUAUUCCUGUACUUCUGGUUACUGCGAUGGAGGGACGGAGAAGGCUAGGCCAGCUUGGCGUUGGUUGUCCAAGUUUAAGGUGGUAGGCUGAAAUCUUAGGUAAAUCCGGGGUUUCAAGGCCGAGAGCUGAUGACGAGUCGUCUUUUAGAUGACGAAGUGGUUGAUGCCAUGCUUCCAAGAAAAGCUUCUAAGCUUCAGGUAACCAGGAACCGUACCCCAAAACCGACACAGGUGGUCGGGUAGAGAAUACCAAGGCGCUUGAGAGAACUCGGGUGAAGGAACUAGGCAAAAUGGCACCGUAACUUCGGGAGAAGGUGCGCCGGCUAGGGUGAAGGAUUUACUCCGUAAGCUCUGGCUGGUCGAAGAUACCAGGCCGCUGCGACUGUUUAUUAAAAACACAGCACUCUGCAAACACGAAAGUGGACGUAUAGGGUGUGACGCCUGCCCGGUGCCGGAAGGUUAAUUGAUGGGGUUAGCGCAAGCGAAGCUCUUGAUCGAAGCCCCGGUAAACGGCGGCCGUAACUAUAACGGUCCUAAGGUAGCGAAAUUCCUUGUCGGGUAAGUUCCGACCUGCACGAAUGGCGUAACGAUGGCGGCGCUGUCUCCACCCGAGACUCAGUGAAAUUGAAAUCGCUGUGAAGAUGCAGUGUAUCCGCGGCUAGACGGAAAGACCCCGUGAACCUUUACUGUAGCUUUGCACUGGACUUUGAGCCUGCUUGUGUAGGAUAGGUGGGAGGCUUUGAAGCGUGGACGCCAGUUCGCGUGGAGCCAUCCUUGAAAUACCACCCUGGCAUGCUUGAGGUUCUAACUCUGGUCCGUAAUCCGGAUCGAGGACAGUGUAUGGUGGGCAGUUUGACUGGGGCGGUCUCCUCCUAAAGAGUAACGGAGGAGUACGAAGGUGCGCUCAGACCGGUCGGAAAUCGGUCGCAGAGUAUAAAGGCAAAAGCGCGCUUGACUGCGAGACAGACACGUCGAGCAGGUACGAAAGUAGGUCUUAGUGAUCCGGUGGUUCUGUAUGGAAGGGCCAUCGCUCAACGGAUAAAAGGUACUCCGGGGAUAACAGGCUGAUACCGCCCAAGAGUUCAUAUCGACGGCGGUGUUUGGCACCUCGAUGUCGGCUCAUCACAUCCUGGGGCUGAAGCCGGUCCCAAGGGUAUGGCUGUUCGCCAUUUAAAGUGGUACGCGAGCUGGGUUUAGAACGUCGUGAGACAGUUCGGUCCCUAUCUGCCGUGGACGUUUGAGAUUUGAGAGGGGCUGCUCCUAGUACGAGAGGACCGGAGUGGACGAACCUCUGGUGUUCCGGUUGUCACGCCAGUGGCAUUGCCGGGUAGCUAUGUUCGGAAAAGAUAACCGCUGAAAGCAUCUAAGCGGGAAACUUGCCUCAAGAUGAGAUCUCACUGGGAACUUGAUUCCCCUGAAGGGCCGUCGAAGACUACGACGUUGAUAGGCUGGGUGUGUAAGCGUUGUGAGGCGUUGAGCUAACCAGUACUAAUUGCCCGUGAGGCUUGACCAU